UGGGGAAUUUUGGACAAUGGGCGAAAGCCUGAUCCAGCAAUGCCGCGUGUGUGAAGAAGGCCUUCGGGUUGUAAAGCACUUUUGUCCGGAAAGAAAUCCUUGGCUCUAAUACAGUCGGGGGAUGACGGUACCGGAAGAAUAAGCACCGGCUAACUACGUGCCAGCAGCCGCGGUAAUACGUAGGGUGCAAGCGUUAAUCGGAAUUACUGGGCGUAAAGCGUGCGCAGGCGGUUUGCUAAGACCGAUGUGAAAUCCCCGGGCUCAACCUGGGAACUGCAUUGGUGACUGGCAGGCUAGAGUAUGGCAGAGGGGGGUAGAAUUCCACGUGUAGCAGUGAAAUGCGUAGAGAUGUGGAGGAAUACCGAUGGCGAAGGCAGCCCCCCGGGCCAAUACUGACGCUCAUGCACGAAAGCGUGGGGAGCAAACAGGAUUAGAUACCCUGGUAGUCCACGCCCUAAAACGAUGUCAACUAGUUGUUGGGGAUUCAUUUCCUUAGUAACGUAGCUAACGCGUGAAGUUGACCGCCUGGGGAGUACGGUCGCAAGAUUAAAACUCAAAUGAAUUGACGGGGUCAUAGCUGUUU
rnacentral:rRNA from 1 species